CAGCCGCCACGGUAAUACGGAGGGUGCAAGCGUUAUCCGGAUUUAUUGGGUUUAAAGGGUCCGUAGGCGGACUUAUAAGUCAGUGGUGAAAGCCUGUCGCUUAACGAUAGAACUGCCAUUGAUACUGUAAGUCUUGAGUAUAUUUGAGGUAGCUGGAAUAAGUAGUGUAGCGGUGAAAUGCAUAGAUAUUACUUAGAACACCAAUUGCGAAGGCAGGUUACCAAGAUAUAACUGACGCUGAGGGACGAAAGCGUGGGUAGCGAACAGGAUUAGAUACCCGGGUAGUCCCUGUCUCUUAUAC
rnacentral:rRNA from 1 species